UGCCUACUGGGUGGGCGACACUGUAAGAUGUGGCUUUCGUGAUUUAUUUCCCUUUGUCCCUCUGAGUCAGCAUGGGCAGACCACACUGUGACUUAAAUCAGCCGGUCAACCUGGACAUCACUGACAAGUUGACUGGAACACAAGCAGACACAGAGUGAAUGAAAAAGUGAAUCAGUCCCCUCAUCUUGACUGGCACAGGACCCACUAACUCAGUUCAAGUGAGAAAUUCCCCCAACACCAAAUUGCGAACGGGUCUAGGCCAGGUCCAGGAUUAACAAUUUUCUAUCCACGCAAUGGACAGAGUAACCAUAAAACUGGUUUCAUUGGAAGAGGUAGAUGAAGAAUGCUUUUUUGGCCUGAGAUGAUAAGCAGGAUUAUAAGCCCACAUUGAGUGCUUGUGUCUCGGGUCUGCUUUCGAGAGAUUCGGGCUGGGUCAUCUGGCACCGGAGCUGCCUCAUCAAACACUCCAGGGACACAGCCUUGAGGCCAGAGCGAGGAGACCAGGAUGUCCAGCAGACUUUACUAGAAUCAUCUUCUCCACAGGGAUCACACCAUCACAAGCCCCAGAUUCCUCUGAAUAUCAGAAGUGAAGAAACAAUAUGCUGCAGUUCUCAGGCAUCAUCUGCUAAUCGAAGGUUUCAUUCCCACGAAGGGAUUUAGGGAAAGGGAGGAACAUUGGACCAGAAGCCUGAGGAUGGAGAGAUCACAACAGAUGGCUUCCACAGGAUUCUGUCCUCAAUGGAAACUGAUAUACAGGUGCCAAGAAUCAUGCACUCAGCAGGAUGGAAGAUGAACAAAAAAAAUGUGGUUUUCAUUCUUUUUCCCUUUCAGCACGACUGUGAAGUGAUAGACGUCAUUGUGAAAAACCAGUUUA